rnacentral:lncRNA from 1 species
GAAAAAAAAAAAGUAAAAAUAGCACAGGUACAAGUGUUGAGCUCGGCGUUUUGAAGAUUUGAUUGUUCAACUCGUUUGGGCACUGAUUUGAAAGUCUUUUCUGACUAAUUUUGCGUUGUCGUUGGAUCUGUUCGUAUAUGUGGCUUUCAGCAGUUGAACAUAUUUUGAGUUGACCACUUUGUUACAGAAGCUGUUAGGGAACCAGAGAAAACAUCUGAUGGGUGACGCAUGAGAAAACAUCUGAUGGGUGACGCAUUGCCAUCCUAUUUGAAUUUUUGUGGUGAUAGGAUUAUGGUUACUGUUUCCUUCUUAUAGUCGCAUUCUCUAUACUUUUGAUUCAAAUAUUGCUUAUUUUUGUGAUGCUUUUAUGCACGAUAUUCAUGAAGUUUCUAUCAAGUUUGGAAGAAUGAUUUGUUAUUUGUGUGGGAUUAUUGGUCUCAAACUACAUGCUUGAUCCCUACAACUAGAAGAGGCCGUGUCGUCAAUCCUGAACUUGAGAUGGAAACCAAAAGAAAAAAAAAAAUCAGAAACUAAUAGUUAUAAACCUCUAUGAUAUCACCACAACAGAAUCCUCUUAUGUCCUCGCACCUGAAAUAUCACUAGAGAUUAUGCUUUUAAAACUCAAAUGCUCAGGAUGCUAGCGCCAUAAAGCCAUCAAACAAUUGACUAGAAUCAACCAACGUAUACUGGGAUCCAUCAUAGUAUUGCCAUGACUUUAAUACCGAUUUUUUUUGCUCAGAAUCCUAUAAAUAUCACAAUCUGAAAGUGCAACCUCAAAGCUGUGAAACGAAUCAUCAACUCAGUAAGUUUUCAUUUCUGGCAACAUUCAAUUAUGAACUGAAUCAGAUAUAAAGUCUUAACAUUUCCAAAUAUGCAAAAUAAACAAACGAGUAUGGACAAGCAGCAUCAAAAUCAUUUGCUAAACUUUUGGCAAAUAGUGAACAAAUUAAUAUUAAUCUUUAGUCUAGGGAAUACUGAUGGUAAAUUUCAAGAAAAUCAUAACUGGCAAUUGCAUUGCUACAUAGAUCCAAACAAAAUACCGACACCUAACCUGAUUGGUUGUGUUUUCAGAUCGAAGUACUCCUAGUAGCCCAUUGUAGAACUUGUCAAGCCAAAUAUGCUGUAAGAUGAGCAGUUGCACAUACAAAUAGAUGCCCUACCUUGGAUUGGGGUACAAACUACAAAGUAUCCCAGUCUGAGAAAACUAUCUAAAAUUUGUCAACAUAAAAUACUCAGCUCUGAGGCUGACUCGGUGGUAACAUUCAGAUUUGCAUUCCAGAAUGGAACACUGGGUGGCAUAGUGCUAGCGUGGGUAAUUCUCGAUGAUUAGAAGGUAAUUCAUAUUGGAUUGUCUGAGAAGCAUACUCAUGUUGUUUGACUUUGUUUAAGGUAAUAUUUUGCAUCACAUGACGUUUGAAGGCAUUGUUAAUCGUCCUUGGUCUUCCAAACUCGUGAUGCUAAAAGAUUGUUGCGUAAUUGUAGUUCAAGGACAAUGUGUCUUUGAUUUUAUAGUGUUAUGUUUGCUCUUGUACGGUCCAGGUUUAUAAUUAUCAGUAUCUGGAUUUCAGUUAGUUCACAUCACUGGUCUGGGUCCUUGCAGAUCUUCUAUAAAGUAUCGAAUGCUCUCAGAGAGUAUGUGAAACAGACAAUUUCUUGUUGCUAGAAAGGAAAAGUCCAAAUAAAGCUGUAAGAAAUAAGUCGAGGUUGAUAUGAGCCACUUUCCUGUCUGUUGCCCUGAGAGAUGGAAUCAUAUUUUAAAUGCUAUAGGAAUUACGCUUUCAGGUGCGCUUCUAUUUGUAUAAGGAGCAAACGUAAUCUGGUAAUCAGGGUAAUUAGGACAUUGUUGCUUUUCAUGUCCCUCUUUCUUACUUUAUUUUUCCCUUAAAAUUUUCACUGCCCCUUGAUUGCAUCUCUUAUGCGUUAAACAUUUGCCGCCCUCGAUAUUCUUCCUUUCCAGGUUCUAAAUAUAAAUAUGACUGUGCCCUCACUAUGUGCAUUUUUUUUUUCCUAUUUCUUUAGGUCUUAAAGGACACCUAAUGUUGGGAGCAACUAUUAGGUCCAGUCCAUCAGUGUUGGAGAUAAUUAGGCAAAUAUCUUAUCCUAGAUAUUUUUGCCUCGGUGUCAAAUAGGGACCAUCCAAGGUACAUCAGUGAACCGUACCUUGCGUCUUGGCUCGGCUGUGGAUAUGUUUAUUCUGCCAUGAAAGUGCUGAGAAAGAAAAGAGCAACGGUUCUUCGGUCGGUGUAUAGUACAUUGAUUUACCAUCGUAAAUGCGAUGGUUUAAGAUUAUGGAAAGAGAAUACCAUUUGAAUUCAGGUAGAUACAUUAAACGUCAACAUAUGAUUACCUCCUGUUAUUUUAUUUUUCUUGCCCCUGAAUUAUUUUUGCUCUCCUUGAUAUGUUCGGGGUCAGAAGCCUCCGAUUCAAGAGAUCACCACUUCUGCAAUACCCAUAGUACCAAGAAAUGAAAUAGAAAAGGCUAUACAUCUUAUUGAUCCGUGAGGACAUAUGGUCUUGCUCUGUUGGAAAAAUCAACAACAAAUGGAGAACUAGUCUUGAACCCAACUGGAAAAGAAACCCAUGAGAUUAAUUCAUCAAUGGACAAAGCUAACUAGAAAGAAUAACUCCCAGAAUUUUCACCAAGCAUUUCAUUUUCCCCAAAAAUGACAGCAAUAAAUUUUCCUAGAAAGGGCAUUAGAAGUGUCAUUCUGCAGAGGUACAAAAUCAUGCGAUAGUUUAAGAGUUUCCGAUAGUUUCUAAAGCCAAUGCUUCCAUUUUAGUGCGCUUCACGUUUAUUUCCCUCCAAUCACAGUUUCUGCAUCUACUCUGCUCAGAUCAAAAGGAACUACAUAGAACAGCGAGAGUUUAAUUUAUUAAAUUCCAGAAUUAUAUGGACAUUGUGUUCAUUUAACGCAUGUGUUGACAGCGCUGUUACACUGUUCUUUUUCUCUCCAGCCCAGCCAUUCAAAACCCCUGGCGUUUUCCCCCGUCACUUGCUUCCUCAUGUGACAUUCUCUUCAGCUUAACAGAACCGUAGCUCUCUGGAACAUCGAAAACAAGGGACCUGAUAAGCAUCCAUGCUUUUCCGAGUCUUUGGUCAAGGUUUUUAGGCGUCAAAAGCCAUAACCAUCGCUUUUGAGCUCAAGAUAAGCAAUAUCAAUUCAGCCGACAAUUUGAGAAAAAUUUUACCAAGCAGAAGAUAAACCCCAGCUCGGUAGCAUCUGUCAAGUAUUAAUCAUACCAGCUCACCAGCACUAUGACCGAAAAAAGCGAUGGAGAAAUCACACUGGUAUGCUUGAGAUUUUAUAUCAAAGUCAAGGUAGCCCGUCCUCAAUUCACAUGGGAAACAAUUAAUAGAAAAGGAAUACACAGAGAUUUAUUCAUUCGGAAUAUAUUUUGAUUGCUGGAAGUAAUGUUAUUAGGAAAAUGCAAUUGAUUCAAUUGGCUGGUGCCUAUUAUGAGAAGAUAAACUGCUCUGAAGAUAAACUUGGUAAACAAUGAAUAAAAAAGGAAUACAGAGAUUUAUCUAUAAGGAAUAUGCUAGAACAGGAAUGUCUUUGGGACAAUGCAAUUGAUUCGAUCGGCUUGUGCCCAUCGUGAGAAGAUAAACUGCUUUGAGUAAGUUCUGUCUCAGCAAAAACUACGCAGAAGCUGUCAUCUUACAAGGUUCCAAAAGCUUUCAAUUGAAUAUCGAGUCAUUAUCGGCCUCCAUGAUUAUGUGGUAUACUAACAAUUCUACUCGCGCAAAUUGUAAUAGAAUGUAUUAGUGUCAAAGCAUAAUUUUUUCCCUAGGUCUGGUAGUGGAUAUUAAACUUCGGCAAAUUGUUUACAUACUUGUAAUUCGGCUUAACAAUCCUUUUAUCUUUGGUAUACAUGAACUAACUUAAUUCGAGAGCAGAGAAAGGGCAAAAAACUUAUCUUUGACUAAAAGUUAGGGAUAUUUAAAUUCUUUGAAUAUGCCAAUUUACCCCCACAAGAACAAGUACCUAAAUACCCUUAUGUUUUCACGGAUAAAUAAGGUAUGACAAAUGGUUUUGGUGCCUAAAAAUUGAAACUUAUAAUACUUCGGACAAAAGAGUUGACAUUAGUGGGUUAAAAUUUACACUAUAAAACUAUAAAAUCCUUCUUUUCAUGAUAAAUAAUUGCAUGGGGAAAAAGAGAGGGAUAUGGGGCAAAUUUGUACAAGGAUUAUCGAGAUUAGUUUCAAGAUGGGCCGGUUCCCACUAAAAUCAUUAACUGGACCAAAAGGAUUGGUGCUUAAUUUGUGGAACCAAGAAUCGCCCAGCUAAUCCUGUACCCAUCUAGGAAUUAGACCAAUCAGUCCAAUCCAAUUCCCCGGUGGGUUUAAGAACAGACGGUGCUCUCUCCCUAUUUUUUUAUCAUAUUCCCUACAAGACCACAAGUGUUAUUAUAUGAUCGAAACUACUACAUGAGUGAUGUUAAUAGAACAAGCCUGUGAUAAGUUAAACAUAAUGAUCAUUUCCAUGAACAAAGAUAUAAUGAUCAUCAAGAACUAUAUAUGUGAGAUUGCCACAAAGUUUUACAAUCUUAACAAUCAUUAUAAGAAUUUGCCAUAAAGUCCUCAAGCUUCACCUCAAGUUAGUAAUAGGCCAAUUAGGGUUUUUAAUGUAGAGACUGAAGAGUAGAGAGACUAAAGAUGUAGAAUGGGGAACUAGUAAUUAGGGUUUUUAGUUUUGUAAUAAUAAGAAUUAGAAAAUCAGUUCGCUCUGGGUGGUCCGAGCGAGUGGGUCCACCCUAGAUCAGAGAACAAAAUCAUUAUUCACCAGUUCUAAAUUUUAGGAAUUGGGAACUUGAUUGGUAACCGUGGAAAUAGCCUAGAACUAGUUGGUUCGGUUUAGUCUGGUCUGGAUGGUUCUCGAUUUGUUUUGUUUAUUUUGCUCACUCCUAAGACGAUGAUAUUUUUAUUUGACUCAAUUACCGGAGAAAAGGGUGCCAUUGUUACAUAUACUAUCCAUGUGUAACUUGCGAGACUUCAAAUUUACCGACCAACCCUACCAAUUACACGUGAUGCGUCAUCACAUACCUUUGAGUUGUUAACCAUUCGAAAUUAUAUCACCAAAUUCUGGUGUUUAAGAAGUUAAUAUUCUCAAUUUACUAAAGAGAUUCAAUCAAAUAGCCUGACUCGACUUUUCUCUCUACCGCAAUGGUAGCUCUCUCUCUACGCUAUGUAGAGCGCUUCUACCGAAAUGGUAGUUUCUUCUUCUUCAACACCUUCUACCUGGUUUUCUUUUACUGAGCGUUGCGGAGUUGCUACUUCCAGCUGUAAAUUUCCCAAUUCCUUCUGACCCACUCCAUCCUUUCAUUCUCUGUUCCAUCGGCCUUUACCCACAUCCUCUUCCUUUUGCAUGUCAUCAUCGGCCUCACAACUUUGCUGAAUUCACUCGAUUUCACUUGUGUCGCUUUCUCUGGUUGAUACCUUCUACUUGGUUCGGGUUUUCGGCAUCCUCUGUUACCGGGUCUUCUGCUGAGAUUUCUUCUCAUUGUUAGUCUUCGUUUCUUUGAAAUGGACCACCUCACUGCCGCAGAUGACGCUCGUCUGGCAGCUUUAUGCAAUCACAUGGGUCGGUUAUGGUCCGAACAGCCAAUUGAGAUAUGGGACGAGGAGGUGCCUAGCGACAAAAUUGAGGAAUGUCAGCUAACUCUGAUGGGUAAUCUUCUAAAUAACCCCUCAGUUAAUUUUCAGGCUUUUCAGACUACUAUGAAAAAGGCUUGGCGCACCGAGUUAGUGGAAUUCUCACAAGGCGACUCUGGACUGUUCAUUAUCAAGUUUAAAUCUUAUGACGUCAAACAGAGAGUUAUAGAAAACGGACCAUGGUUGUUUGGCAAUCAUCUUCUUAUCUUGAAACCUUGGAUAGCUAACACACCGCUGUCUUGCUAUGACUUUAGUACUUGUGCGUUCUGGGUCCACAUAGUUGGCUUGCCUUUGGAGCGCUGCACAGAGAAUAUAAUUCAUCGAGCUGCCGGUCAUAUUGGAAAGGUCACUGAAGUAAACAUAACAAGUAAAGAUGGAUUACCGCUUAGAGCAAUGAGGGCAAGAGUGGAAUUGGACCUUAAACGACCGCUGAAAACAGGGCUUCUCCUUAAGGUUGAAGGCAAGAAUUUCUAGUUGGACUUUAGAUAUGAACGUUUAUCUCACUACUAUUAUUCCUGUGGCAUACUGGGACACUAUGCCACUGCCUGUAAAACUUUUCCCUGUGAUGAAAAUAAAUUAGAUGAAAUCAGUUUUCUAUAUGGAUCUUGGUUAAAAGCAGAGGCACGGGAAUACAGCCCUUUCUGGUGUACCUUUUAUGAUACAGAGAUUAUCCCUGAGACCCCUCAAACUUCUUCAGCAAUUAUUUCUGUGCCGGACUCUGUUCAUGCUGUACCUGAUACUUCAGUGCAAAAAUCUGUUCAUGGUGUACCUGACAUUUCAGUACAAAAAAAUAAGGGUAAACACACUAUGGAAACCUCAGUUAGAGAUCCUAUUAUCACAACAACAAACCAAGCUACUCAGGAUCUUCAUACCCUUGAUCAGCAACUCAUAUUGGCAAACCCCCCUGUUGCUAGUUCUUCUCAGUUGAAAAAGAAGCUUAAACACUCACAUCUUAAUGCACGAUUCGGACCUCUUAAGAAGGUAAAAUGAGCUCUGCAUCAUGAAGUUCGACAUCACUUAUAGGAGCAGUUUGAUGAAUCCGCUUUACAAGACACUCCUAUCACUGAGGCAGACACGUCUGCAUGUUGGGCCCUAGUGGCUGGCCCUAAAAAGCCACCAGGUGAACAAUGAGACUUAUAAGUUGGAACUGUCAGGGGUUGGGCAAUCCCCCGACUGUUCAAGCGCUUAGGGUCUUAGCGACCCAAGAGAAGCUCGAUAUUGUUUUUUUGAUGGAAACAAAAAACCAGACUCAGCAGCUUUUGUCUAUUCAACGAAAACUUAAUUUCUCAGCAGGUUAUAUACAAGAUCCAGCAGGAUUGACAGGAGGUUUAGCCCUUUUUUGGACUAACAAGAUUUCUUUGAAAGUUACUUACCAGUCAUCUGAUAUGCUAGACUCCAUUUGUACUUACCUGGAUUCUGGCAUUACCAUGCGUCUUACUUGCUUACAUGCUCCUGCUCGCUAUCCUCUCCGAUAACACCUGUGGACAGUUUUAAGAUGAAUCAGUAAUUUUAACUCCCUUCCUUGGUUAUGCACAGGGGAUUACAAUGAAGUAUUAUAUCCAUGGGAGAAAGUAGGGAAGUGUCAUGUCGAGUCUCACAGAAUGAUUUCUUUUCGCGAUCUAAUUAAUGACUGUUAUCUUAUGGACCUCGGCAGCAAAGGAUGUGCCUUUACAUGGACUAACAACAGACAGGGUGAUGAUAUGGUAAAGGAAAGAUUAGACAGAAUGCUUUGCACAAAGGAUUGGAGAUUGGCUUACCCUCUUGCCGAAGUACUCGCCCUUCCAGCCCUCGGCUCUGAUCACAACCCCCUUCUCUUGUCUACUGAAGCACUUCCUAGCUGUAAAAGGCGGAAAUCUUUCUAUUUUGAAGCUUUUUGGCUCAGGAUAUCAAGUGCUGUUCAAUUAUUGCUGCAUCCUGGACCUCUUCUCAGCUUGGAGAGGUGAUACUUCCUCAAAAACUACUCUCUGUUUCUAUUGCAUUAUCCAAAUGGAGUCGUUCCAAAUUUAGGAAUGCACAAACUCAACUUUAUCAUCUCAAGAAUCAGCUUCAGUCUCUCACCAAUCAAACACAUUUUCACUCAAAUACUGAUGUGAUAUCAGACCUGAAAGCAAAAAUACAUAACUUAUGGCAGCAGAAGGAAAAAUUUUGGGCAAUGCGAUCCCUGGUUAAUUGGCUUAAAUGGGGGGACAGGAACACCAAAUUCUUUCAUGCCACUACGGUUCAACGAUGACAACAAAACAAGAUCAGAAUGCUUCAGGAUGAUUAGCAAAACUGGAUUCGAGACCCUUCUGCUCUUAAAGAGAUGACUUUCAAUUAUUUUCAGCAGUUAUAUUCAUCUAUAGGGUAUAGAGACUAUGGCCCAACAUUAAAUCUUUGUAAUCAGAUUGUGACAGAGGAGAUGAAUGAACAUCUAACAGCUACAGUUACCUAUGAGGAGGUCCAUACUGCAGUAUUCCAAUUAGGAGAAACAAAAGCUCCCAAUCCAGAUGGCUUGAAUGGCUAGUUUUAUCGAGCCCAUUGGGAUAUCCUGCAAGAUGACAUAACAUUAGCCGUGCAACAAUUCUUUCAUACAGGGAUCUUAUUACCGGAGUAUAACCGCACUGCUAUUUCCCUAAUUCCUAAGAUUCCUCACCUAGAACAUUUAGAUCAAUUUCGUCCUAUUAGCCUCUGCAAUUUUAUUUAUAAGAUUAUUUCCAAGAUUCUUGCAAACCGUCUUAAACCCUGGCUGCCACAGUUGAUAGCACCAGAACAAACUGCUUUUGUUGGCGAUCACCAAAUCCAAGAUAAUAUAAUUGUGGUUCAUGAAGUCUUACAUCAGAUCAGAAUAAGAAAACGCAAAAAGAACUUUCAUGCAAUGCUGAAACUAGACAUGCAGAAGGCUUAUGACCGGGUUGAAUGGGAUUUUCUCCGAGAUUAUCUCCUAAAGCUUGGUUUUCAUACCAAAUGGGUCCACUGGAUAUUCCAAUGUAUUUCUACAGUGUCUUAUAGUGUCAAAUUAAAUGGAGAAUUUCCACCGUUCUUCCAUCCUACCAGAGGUCUUAGACAAGGCGACCCGUUAUCACCGUACCUGUUCAUCCUGAUGGCUAAUGCUUUAACAACUCUUAUCAAUAACGCAGUGGACAAUGGCAAUCUUAAAGGUAUUAAACUUAAUCGAUGGUGUCCCACUCUCUCUCACUUAUUUUUCACUUAUGAUGCCAUUUUUUUCCUUGAUGCGAAACUUAUGGAAUGUCAGAACUUAGCUGAUGUCCUUAAUGAAUACUGCCUAGCUACAGGACAAGCAAUUAAUCGAAACAAAUCAGGGUUAUUUUGUAGCACAGACUGUCCUAUUGCCUUGAAAGAAAGUCUAGCCGGAGCACUUAGAGUUCCUAUAUUACAUCAAACAGGCAGAUAUCUAGGCAUACCUUCAGAUUGGGGCAAAUCUAAACGGGAAAUGUUUUCUUGGCUUAUGGGUCGAGUGCAUUCAAAACUCAAAGGUUGGAAAGAAAAACUCAUUUCAAAAGGAGGCAAGGAGGUCCUUAUUAAAACUGUUGUGCAAGCUAUACCCCACUACGCCAUGUCGAUUUUCAAAAUCCCUGCUGCUAUUUGUAAAGCAAUAGAACAAAAACUAGCUAAAUUCUAGUGGCAGUCAGAUUACAGCAAGAAAGGCAUGUUGACACCUAAAUUUUUCCAUUUUCAUUUAGGAUUUAAUUGUGUACGGAAUUAGGAAUUAGUCAUUUAAAAAAAAAACAAACAACAAAAAACAAAAAAAAAACACAACAACAAAAUAAACAGAAAAUAGGAAAAAAAAACGCCUAGGGGUCGGGUCAAGCCAAAUCUGGCUUUGGCCCGGCCCAUCGCCCACCUCUCUUUCCCCUGAGUGGCCCACGCCAUCUCCUUUUGGUCCAGCCCACAUCCCCACUUGUCUUCUUCCUGGUGUCUUCGUGUGCGGAGCCUGCACCAAAAGAAAAAGGAAAAGCAACAAUGUCAGAGAAAAAGGGAAAAAGAAGAAAGCGACAACAGAGGAGGAGGGAGAUCGGCAGAGAGAGGGAGGGGAGCUCGAGACCGAGAGAAGCCGAACGGCCGCCUCGCCGUGCUUGCGCCUCCGACCCGGCGUCCCUUACUGCACGAGUCGCCGACCACCGCUGCUCGGCCCUUCGCAACACCAGCAACCCGCGAAGCCGACGCCGUCGCUGCUCGAACAAGCCAGAUCUGGGGGAGGAGGGCAGCGGCGGCGCUGCCGUCUGCCGUCCAAGCCGCUGCCCUCUGAACGCCGUCCCCAGCAGCCUGCCUCUGCCCAGUUGCGACGCCGCCGCCGCCGCCACCGUCUCUGCUCGAACCCGCGAGCCCUGCUUCUGCUCUGCCGUGCGCCUCCGCCGGACACGCGUUCGC